AUGAGAGGGAGUGGUCUGGCGCACGUGGUUACUUUCUUGCUCAUCGGGUCCCUUGUUGUGGUCGGACAAGCUAGAAGAAUUUAUCAAGACCAUCAUGUCAACAUAACUGCUAACGCUACUGCUGUGGAGUCACCAUUUGAUGAAGAUAAGCUCGCCUUGAAAUGGUGUGUCUCAAGGGAAUGCGACCCCAAUUUCCCAGGUGAAGGCUUUAACCAACCAUGCACCUGCUGCUUCUCGCUGCCGGGCGCCCCAUGUUGGCACACUAUGGAGGAGUGCAAGGCAAAAUGCCCAACCUGCCACCCUACAUGCUAA
rnacentral:rRNA from 1 species